rnacentral:lncRNA from 1 species
UGUGUGCGCACACACACCCAUAUAUGUAGAGGUCAGGAGUCAACUUGGGAAUCAUUUCUUUCCUACCAUGUGGAUCCCAGGUAUUAAACUCUUCAUCAGGCCUGGGGGCAAAUGCCUAAACUCUUAAAAAAAGACAAACUUUGAGCACAUAUUAAUUUAUAUGUCUUUAUUAAUAUACACAAGCUAAUAAAAAUUAACAAAUAAUGUAAUUAGCGGUCAGAAAUAGAGUACAAGAAAGGGUGCAAUGAGGGAAAUUAAGAAUACAGCACUGUAAAGUAGUGACAAUGUACACAGCCUGUCUGAGGCCUGAGUUCAAGCCCCAGCAGCCAGGGAGAGAGAGAGACAGAAAGAGAGAAAAAGAGAAAGAGAGAAAGAGAGAAAGAGAGGGGGAGAGAGAGAGAGAGAGAGAGGAAGGAGAGAAGAAGAAGAGGAGGAGGAGGAGGAAGAGGAAGAAGAGGAGAAGAGAGAAUGAAUGAAAAUGAAUGAAUAUUAUAUUAUAAGAGCAUUGUUCUGGGGUUGGGGAUUUAGCUCAGUGGUAGAGCGCUUGCCUAGCAAGUGCAAGGCCCUGGGUUCGGUCCCCAGCUCCGAAAAAAGAAAAAAGCAAAAAAAAAAAAAAAAA